rnacentral:rRNA from 1 species
GGGGAGCGGCAGACGGGUGAGUAACGCGUGGGGACGUACCUUUUGCUACGGAAUAACUCAGGGAAACUUGUGCUAAUACCGUAUGUGCCCUUCGGGGGAAAGAUUUAUCGGCAAAGGAUCGGCCCGCGUUGGAUUAGCUAGUUGGUGAGGUAAAGGCUCACCAAGGCGACGAUCCAUAGCUGGUCUGAGAGGAUGAUCAGCCACACUGGGACUGAGACACGACCCAGACUCCUACGGGAGGCAGCAGUGGGGAAUAUUGGACAAUGGGCGCAAGCCUGAUCCAGCCAUGCCGCGUGAGUGAUGAAGGCCCUAGGGUUGUAAAGCUCUUUCACCGGUGAAGAUAAUGACGGUAACCGGAGAAGAAGCCCCGGCUAACUUCGUGCCAGCAGCCGCGGUAAUACGAAGGGGGCUAGCGUUGUUCGGAUUUACUGGGCGUAAAGCGCACGUAGGCGGACUUUUAAGUCAGGGGUGAAAUCCCGGGGCUCAACCCCGGAACUGCCUUUGAUACUGGAAGUCUUGAGUAUGGUAGAGGUGAGUGGAACUCCGAGUGUAGAGGUGAAAUUCGUAGAUAUUCGGAGGAACACCAGUGGCGAAGGCGGCUCACUGGACCAUUACUGACGCUGAGGUGCGAAAGCGU